rnacentral:rRNA from 1 species
UACGUAGGGUCCGAGCGUUGUCCGGAAUUAUUGGGCGUAAAGAGCUUGUAGGCGGUCUGUCGCGUCUGCUGUGAAAAUCCGGGGCUCAACCCCGGACUUGCAGUGGGUACGGGCAGACUAGAGUGUGGUAGGGGAGACUGGAAUUCCUGGUGUAGCGGUGAAAUGCGCAGAUAUCAGGAGGAACACCGAUGGCGAAGGCAGGUCGCUGGGCCACUACUGACGCUGAGAAGCGAAAGCAUGGGGAGCGAACAGG